AAGACCCUAGGCAAAGCCUGGUCAAAUGCGCAGGACUUAAGAUCCUGUCCCUUAGUGGGUUCGAGGGUUCGAAUCCCUUCCCCCACA
rnacentral:tRNA from 1 species